rnacentral:precursor_RNA from 1 species
GGCUUGAGGACCGUAUUCAUGGAAGAGGAUCGAACAGACUACUGAGUUCUUAUGAGAAAAAUGGCUCUUAAGAAAUUGAAGGUGAUACCAAAGGAAAGUUACUUAUUACUUUUGGACUUUGAUGAUGAGGACGAUGAUAUAAAAGUUUCAGAGGAGGCUCUUUCGGAAGAGAUGAAGUAGACAGUAUGUUGGAUAAAUCUGAAGCUGCAUCAUUGGACUCAAACUGAAUGGUCCAUGUGUUGCCACUGAUGUGAGCCAUUUGCAAGCC